AAUGUCCCUCCGAUGAUGUUGAAAAUUCAGGUGUCCGUUACAAUAACUAAUUGUCAAUUAGCAUAGAAUUUUUAAUUUUGAAAUUCUGUGUAAUCUUUUCGUGGUUGUGGAGUAAAUUGUUAAGUCAAAAGUGUAGUAAAGUAAGUGUAAUACAUGCCUAACUUAUUGAUUUAAGCGUAAGGCAAUUAAAAAAGGAAUUGGAAGCAAGGCAAUUGCUAACGAAAGGGAACAAAUCGAAAUUGCAGACGCGACUAUUACAAUCAAUGGAGGCCCGUGGGGAAAAUAGCGAAACAUAUGAAUUUUCAGAUAUGGUAUCCAAAAAUGACAACGAAUUACAGGCUUUAGCAGUUUUUGACAAUGAGACUCGUACCGCGGUUUCUAUGGGAAUGACCACUUUAUUAUCUGCAAUAGCGGGGGUACAGGAGAGUCUGAUACAAAAUACUGCACAAGUUGAUGAUAUACAACAACGUAUUGCAGAUGAUAUAGUUAAAAAUUCCGCGCAAUUAAAGGAACGUGUGCAGGAUAGUGCAACUCUAUUGGAAGAACGUAUACAGCAAAAUGCAUUGGUAAUGGGAGAACGUGCAUAUGCUGACUUGGCUAAGUGGCGUUUAAAUUUAUCGGUGCACUUAAAGAAACUGGAAGAAAGGCUAUUACACAUCGAAGCGAUCAAUGGACAACUGAGUGCAAGACAAGAGAAAUUAGAACGUGAUUGUCAAAAAAGCCAUCCGAAGGUUGAAAAUGAAAUCCAAGCUACUGAUAGAAAUGUGAACAGACACAGCAUAAACGUUUGUGGAAAUGAAAUACUUGACAAUAAUCUACCAAAAGUCGUUAAUACUUCGCACUUAAGUCCACCAAUAUUUGAUGGAACGAUGCCUAUUUCAAUUUUCAAACUACAAUUUGAAAUGUCUGUAAAGCUUUAUAAAUGGAACGAUGUGGAGAAGUUAGCUGCAUUGGUUUUAGCUAUUAAAGGCCCUGCUACCGCGAUCCUUCAAACCUUUGCAAAUAUGACGGAUCUUAAUUAUGAAGCAGUUAUGGGUGAGUUGGAAAGAAGAUAUGGUAGUGAGCACUGGCGACAAAUAAACAAUAUGCAACUAGUUAAUCGCGUGCAGAAACCUAAUGAGACAAUACUAGAUUAUGCCAACGAUAUUGAACGUCUUAGCAAUUUAGUGUACGCUAAUAGUUCCAAGGAUUUACUUGAAACAAUUAAGAUUGAGAGUUUUAUAAGAGGAUUACGUGAUUGUGAAAUAAAACUAGCAAUGUAUUCCAUGCCAAAGUCAACAUUUAUGGAAACACUAUCGUACGCAAUAACUCGAAAGGUGGCGUUAGACCUAGCUGGACCAAAGCUUAAUUGCAAUGAUAAUUAAUAUUUCAAUUUUGAGAGAAUACAUUGACACCAAUAAUGGUCACUGCUAUUGUAAAUAAAACCCUAUUUGCCUUAAUAAUAAUCGCAACUGUGAAUAAUGUUGUAUAAUCAUAUUAAUAGCACAAUGAGCAAAACAAAAAAAAUCAAGUAUAUAACUUUUUUUCGUUUCUUAACAAUUCAAUGGAAGGGUCAGUUUAAACUUUCUGGCAAACAAAAAAUAUCUUAAAUUUUAUACGUUAACCAACACUACACAAACUUAUUUUAAGUCAUUAUGACCACCCUAUGCGCCUACACUUUAUUAAAUAUUUGCAACAAUUAGUAAUAACAAAGGUGCAAAAUAUACGUGUAAAUUGAACAAAAUUAAUUUAUAAUGGGGACCAAGGAACGUUCCGGAGUACUCGGCGAAGUUCUUAAACUAGAUGUGUUAUGGACAAAAAAAUUAGUAACUUUUGUAUUCCAAUAUAUACCUUUUACCAAAUUACGGCUGCAUUGCAAAUGUUUGGAGAUAUCAUGCAACGGUAUUGCUUGGUUGGCUGGCUGGUUAGCAUUUAUUUGGAUAGCUGAUAGCAAACCACUUUACCAAAUGCAAUUAAAUCUGCUUUUUGGACUAAUAUUAGAUAUUAUCAUAAUUGCGGUGUUGAAAGCAAUCUUUCGACGUCGGCGACCAGCAGUGUGUUCAGAUAUGCUCACCUUGGGACCUGAUAAAUUUAGUUUUCCUUCAGGUCAUGCGUCCAGAUCGGCGUUUAUAUUCAUGUUUUUCACAAUGCUAAAUCCAGUUUCGGAAAUAUUAUGGAUGCCCAUAUUUUCGUGGACACUAAGUGUGUGUUUGUCAAGAGUUUUACUCAGCCGGCAUUAUAUAUUAGAUGUACUUGGCGGUAUGGGUGUUGGCAUUGUUGAAGCGCUUAUUGUUGGUCUACUGUGGAUUGGUGAAAAUGCUGCCUCAAAUAUUAUUAAUUAUGUCACGAAUGAUUAUUUGCCCGGUGGAGAAGAGUAAAAAUUAUUAUUCUUUUUGUAUUGUAUUAAAAAGUUGUAAAUUUGUUAAGCAAAACGUUAGCCAAAAUAAAAAAUUGAUGUGACUCAUUAACAAACUAAGCAUAGGAAUAUAAAGUGUACUCUGUGCAGUGAGAU
rnacentral:misc_RNA from 1 species